GUGGGGAAUAUUGGGCAAUGGGGGAAACCCUGACACAGCAACGCCGCGUGAGGGAUGACGGCCUUCGGGUUGUAAACCUCUUUUCUCAGGGAAGAAUAAUGACGGUACCUGAGGAAUAAGCUUCGGCUAACUACGUGCCAGCAGCCGCGGUAAUACGUAGGAAGCGAGCGUUAUCCGAAUUUACUGGGCGUAAAGUGGGCGUAGGCGGCCUUUCAAGUUGGAUGUGAAAUCUCCUGGCUUAACUGGGAGGGGUCAUCCAAUACUGCUAGGCUUGAGGACAGCAGGAGAAAGUGGAAUUCCCGGUGUAGUGGUGAAAUGCGUAGAUAUCGGGAGGAACACCAGUGGCGAAGGCGGCUUUCUAGGCUGUUUCUGACGCUGAGGCCCUAAAGUGUGGGGAGCGAACAGGAUUAGAAACCCCUGUAGUCC
rnacentral:rRNA from 1 species